CGGCGGACGGGUGAGUAACGCGUGGGUAACCUACCCUGUACACACGGAUAACAUACCGAAAGGUAUGCUAAUACGGGAUAAUAUAUUUGAGAGGCAUCUCUUAAAUAUCAAAGGUGAGCCAGUACAGGAUGGACCCGCGUCUGAUUAGCUAGUUGGUAAGGUAACGGCUUACCAAGGCGACGAUCAGUAGCCGACCUGAGAGGGUGAUCGGCCACAUUGGAACUGAGACACGGCCCAA
rnacentral:rRNA from 1 species